GACGUAGGGCGCGAGCGUUGUCCGGAUUUAUUGGGCGUAAAGAGCUCGUAGGCGGCUUGUUGCGUCGUCCGUGAAAACCUGUGGCUCAACUACAGGCUUGCGGACGAUACGGGCGGGCUGGAGUUCGGUGAGGGGAGACGUGGAAUUCCUGGAUGUAGCGGUGAAAUGACGCAGAUAUCAGGAGGAACACCGGUGGCGAAGGCGGGUCUCUGGGCCGAUAACUGACG
rnacentral:rRNA from 1 species